CUGAAUGGCCUCUGGGCCUUCAACCUUGCAAACCUGUGGAAGCAACAUGUGCUUCGGCGCUUCGGCGUCGCUUUUAUGCUGCAACAAGCUGAUCUGUCUGAAUCAAAUACAAGAAAUA
rnacentral:misc_RNA from 1 species